rnacentral:lncRNA from 1 species
AUCUUUGCAUGAAAAUUUUAUUUCUUCAAACCAGCUUUCCAAUGACAUCUUUUGUUUUCCAGAAAACCUUCUACAACUUUUUGUAUGCUUAAAAGAGUGACAGUCAGUAAACAAAUUACAUCCUAACUUCAAACAACCUUAACUUCUUUAUACAAAACUCAAAUAACAAACUUUAUACACCAAAAUUAUAGCCCAAAAUACAAGCU